AUAAAGAGCAUCUUCUCUAGUCCAGCCCGAUAUGGAGGAAAAACACACUGUGGCAAAUAGCAGAAAAACGAUCCUAGACUUGUCUGUUCAGUAGAGCCGGGAGAGGCCGGGAGGAAGCUGCACCGGGCUCCAAUAAAAGCAAAACACUCCAGCACAAGAUGUCCCCUCACAUAAGGGAGAGCUCGAAAUACGCAUGGAUGACUCAAGCUUCUCCGUCAAUCUUUCUCUCAAGGAAACGAAACUGACCGUAUUCCUUCCUCUUAGCUGAGGAGAUCCCGUUGUUAAAAGGCGGGGCUGGAAAAACUUCGAACUUGGCCAAUUUCAAGUCAGAAUAGAAAACGGUGAUUAACUCUGGCAGAAAAAUGAUGAGUGUCCCCUCCCCUAUCUUACAAGACAUCUGAUGGGCCUCAAUAAUGGUUGAGCAAUUGGACUGGAUUGAUACCACCUGAAGGCAGCAACUGAAAUUGCUUUGCUAGUCUCACCCAAGCCCAGGUACUUAUUUGGGAAGCUACCUGUCCAGAGACAUGACCAAUUGGCUUGAAAGAGGUGCAUUUUAAUCUGUUACCUCUGAAUGAAUGAUCUAGU